rnacentral:rRNA from 1 species
UACGUAGGUGGCAAGCGUUGUCCGGAUUUAUUGGGUUUAAAGGGUGCGUAGGCGGGUUAUUAAGUCAGUGGUGAAAGCCUUCAGCUUAACUGAAGAAUUGCCAUUGAUACUGAUGAUCUUGAGUAUGAUUGAGGUUGGCGGAAUGUGUCAUGUAGCGGUGAAAUGCUUAGAUAUGACACAGAACACCGAUUGCGAAGGCAGCUAACUAAGUCAUAACUGACGCUGAUGCACGAAAGCGUGGGGAGCAAACAGG